rnacentral:rRNA from 1 species
CCUGUCUGAAUCUGGCGGGACCAUCCGCUAAGGCUAAAUACUCCUGAGAGACCGAUAGUGAACCAGUACCGUGAGGGAAAGGUGAAAAGAACCGUGAAUAACGGAGUGAAAAAGAUCCUGAAACCAUACGCCUACAAGCGGUCGGAGCCCAUUCGUUGGGUGACGGCGUGCCUUUUGCAUAAUGAGCCUACGAGUUACCGUUGCUGGCAAGGAUAAGCACUUCAGGUGUGGAUCCGUAGCGAAAGCGAGUCUGAAUAGGGCGCUAUAGUCAGUAGUGGUAGACGCGAAACCGUGUGAUCUACCCAUGGGCAGGAUGAAGCUGUGGUAACACACAGUGGAGGUCCGAACCGGUUGACGUUGAAAAGUCUUCGGAUGACCUGUGGGUAGGGGUGAAAGGCCAAUCAAACUGAGAGAUAGCUCGUUCUCCCCGAAAUGUUUUUAGGAACAGCGUUGCAUCAAGAAGUUUAUUAGAGGUAGAGCUACUGAUUGGGCUAGGGGGCUUCACCGCCUACCAAACCCUGACAAACUCCGAAUGCUGGUAAAUAUCUGCGGCAGUGAGGCUGUGGGCGCUAAGGUCCAUGGCCGAGAGGGAAAUAACCCAGACUAUCAAUUAAGGCCCCUAAGUCCAUGUUAAGUUGAACAAACGAAGUUCGGAUCCUAAGACAGCCAGGAUGUUGGCUUGGAAGCAGCCAUUCAUUUAAAGAGUGCGUAACAGCUCACUGGUCGAGGGUCCGGGCACGGAAAAUGAUCGGGCAUCAAACAUGGCGCCGAAAUUGUAGAUUGAUACUUAAGUAUCAGUGGUAGGGGAGCAUUCCAAACAGCGUUGAAGGUGUGUGGUGAUGCAUGCUGGAGCGUUUGGAAAAGAAAAUGUAGGUAUAAGUAACGAUAAAACAGGUGAAAAACCUGUUCGCCGAAAGACUAAGGGUUCCUGAUCAACGUUAAUCGGAUCAGGGUUAGUCUGGUCCUUAGGAAAACCCGAAAGGGGCAUCUGAUGGAAAGAAGGUUAAUAUUCCUUCACCUGCUAUACAUUAAAAGUGACGCAGGGACGUGGUUGUUGCGUACGGACGGAAGUGUGCGCUGAGCGGAGUCUUCGGACGAAGCGAAACAAUAAAAUCCCUGCCAAGAAAAGCGAGUAUGGCAGCCAGUACCGCAAACCGACACAGGUAGACGGGAUGAGUAUUCUAACGCGCUCGGGUGAGCCGUGGAGAAGGAACUAGGCAAAUUGACGCUGUAACUUCGGGAUAAAGCGUACCGCAGCGAUGCGGUCACAGUAAAAUGGUUCAACCAACUGUUUAACAAAAACACAGGGCCCUGCAAAAUCGAAAGAUGACGUAUAGAGCCUGAAACCUGCCCGGUGCUGGAAGGUUAAGGAAGGGUGUUCGUAGCAAUACAAAGCUCCUGACUGAAGCCCCAGUAAACGGCGGCCGUAACUAUAACGGUCCUAAGGUAGCGAAAUUCCUUGUCGG